UACGUAGGGAGCAAGCGUUGUCCGGAAUCAUUGGGCGUAAAGAGCGUGUAGGCGGUUCGGUAGGUCCGUUGUGAAAACUCGAGGCUCAACCUCGAGACGCCGAUGGAAACCAUCGAACUAGAGUCCGGAAGAGGAGAGUGGAAUUCCUGGUGUAGCGGUGAAAUGCGCAGAUAUCAGGAAGAACACCCGUGGCUAAGGCGGCUCUCUAGUACGGUACUGACGCUGAGACGCGAAAGCGUGGGGAGCGAACAGG
rnacentral:rRNA from 1 species